UCUAUAUAUAUAUAUGACAUGAAUAUGUGCAUUAAAAUAUUUUUGGCAAUAAAUGACAGGGAACAGUUAUCAGUGGGAUGUGAGCUGGUGUGAAGAAAAGGAAAGAAACUUUCACUUUCAUUUUAUAUCUUUUACUUGAUACAUUUUCUGUCUUAUAUAUGUUUCAUAUAUGACAUUUAAAAAACUGACAGCAGGAGUUUCCUUUUCUCUACUCCAACUGCAAUACCCAGAGAUACUUUUUAUAUUCCAUAUUUUUUCUCUGUGUAGACAAGAAAGAUACAAAUAUGCAUUUUUGCAUAUGCACAAUUACAGGGUUUUGUUCUUACCCAAAUGGGAUCUAUAUCGUUCUGCAAUUUGCUUUUCUUAAUUUAUAUGUCAUUCACAUUCUUCCAUGUAAAGACAUACUGCAUAAAAUUUCGUAGCUAAGUAGCUGCCCACACUGUCUGAUUCAUUGAUUGAGCCCAUGUGCUUUAAACACCAAACAGAUGCCAGGCCUGCAGCCAGGCAAUUGAGGAGGCAACAUUGAAUCAAACACAGUCCCAGAGGAGAUGAAUGAGCAAAUGCCUGUGGUCAGGGUGUUCAGGGCAGUGAGGACCUACCUCACCCAGUCUGGUAUUCAGCAGACCUCCCAGCCUGGGAGAGUGUAGAAGUCUGUGUUUUCCUCAAGCACCAUGGAAGUGCACGGACAGAAUUGUCUUCAUUCUAUGGUGUGUGUCUGUGUGUGUAGACUUUCUUACAGCAGACUUAGGUUCACAGCAAAACUGAGCAGAAUAUACUGUUUCCAAAUACUCCUUGCCCCCAGCUGUACAAAAUGCACCCCCAUCCCGGCAUCAGAGAGGUACGUUUGUAACACAGUGUACUUGCCCUUAUUAGCCAAGGUCCCUAGUUGACAUUUGGGUUCACUCUUAGUGUCGUACAUCCUGUGGGUUUUGAGAAAUGUAUGAUGACACACAUCCAUCAUUACAGUGCUGUACAGAAGAGUUUCGCUGCCUUCAGAGUCCCGCGUGGGCUGCCCAUUCACCCCCUACUACCUCCUAAUGCCCGGCAAGCCCUGACCUUGCUGCUGUCUUCACAGUUUUGCCUUUUCCAGAAUGUUCUGUAAUAGGGAUCUAUGGAGUGUUUGCUGUAUCCAGGGAGAGAACUGUCCAAUCUAGUAAGUGGGGAAGGAACUCACGAUGAAGAGGAGGAGUUCAUGUCCUUGGGGAGCUCAUCACCCAGCAUGUAUGAACAACUUCGAUGUAACAUAAGUUCUCCCACCUCUGGACCCUGGUGAGUCAGUCACCACCGUGGCAGCCAGACUGCUGGGCGCUGCACCACUGCCAGCCCCGGGGGAGUGAGAGGACCUCUGCAGACGUCCCCCGAGCCCCAGGAAGCCUGAGGAGCAGCUGCUCGGGGCCCACCACAGGUAGGACCCAUCUAGUGCUGCAUUCCCCAAAUGCAUCUGAUCACAGGGCUCUUCUGAAAUAUUUGUUAAAAGAACCCAUACUCACUCCAGACCCACCUAAUCAAUCUCCAGGGUGGGUGGGGCCCGGCAGUAUUAUUUUUAACAGCAAUCGCGGAAUUUGUAUCGUCAGGAAACUUGGGGAAACACAGGUCCAGCAGAAGAGAUUUAUAGGCUUGGAAUCCAAAGGCCUAAUGAGAUUUGCAACUUCACUAAUGGCAAUGCUGGUUUAUUUCUCCGUCUUAAAGAGAAGGGAUGGAUCACAACAAUAUCUACGUCAGCCUCUGAAGGCCAUCACGUAACCUAGUCAGGUUACCUGUGUGCUGUCUUUCAGAGGAUUUAGAAAUACUUACAGACAGGGCUAGGUGUUUGCGGCUUAGAAUGCCUCGGGCUAGAGGGGCAGGGCCCCCAUGUGCGCAGUGAGGAUGACGUGAAGGGAGACGAGAGGCCCGUUAUCUCUGC